AGGAUACUAAACAACAUUUUCUCCCAAGGCUCCAACAUGUACAACGCCGUAGUCACUUCGUAUCUGUAUAUUGUCAGGUCAAUCCAUUCUUUUAAACCACCCAGCAUAUUUCAAAUUAUCAACUUUGCACGGUCCAAUAAACAAUUAUAUUUUACAAUUUUUCCAACAAUUUUUCGAUCUUUAUACCCAGAGUAUAUAAUAAUCUUCCUCCAAAUCUGUUACACUAACUUUUAAACUCUUUUUUCUUGUUUUUUUUAGCCGUAUUUUGAUAAAUUUGUGAUUGUUUCGAAAUCUAAAAUUUUAUAUUUUUAGCCAAGUACUGUCAAAAAGAUAAUUGCGCAUACUCGGCGCAGCUCGGUGAUUGUCGUUUUAUCUUCGGACAUUUUAUGCAAAUUU